rnacentral:misc_RNA from 1 species
GAAUUUUAGGGCGUCUACUUCGGUAGGGCCUGACCCCCACUUUCUAACACUGUGCACUCAUUGGCGAGAAGAAAAGAAUAAGGGUUAUUUUAACCUGGUUUCAAUUUUUCUUGCGGCUCACUUUAAAACACCAGUCAAAGUAUGUUUACGAAAUAUCGAAAUAAAAAAAAACUUUCAACAACGGAUCUCUUGGCUCU